GUGCCUAACACAUGCAAGUCGAACGAGCUUUCUCUCUCUCGAGAGAGGGAGCGAGUGGCGGACGGGUGAGGAACACGUGGGUGACCUACCCUGGAGUGAGGAAUACCGGCGAGAAAUUGCCGACAAUACCGCAUGCGCUUCUUUGUCUGAGAGGAGAGAGAAGGAAAGUCUCGCGAGAGACGCUCUGGGAUGGGCCCGCGGCCGAUUAGCUGGUUGGUGGGGUAAGAGCCUACCAAGGCUGCGAUCGGUAGCUGGUCUGAGAGGACGAUCAGCCACACUGGGAUUGAGAACGGCCCAG
rnacentral:rRNA from 1 species